rnacentral:lncRNA from 1 species
UAAAUAUUGACCAGGACAUGACUGAAAAGAGCAAGGGGUUAGCAGAUGCCAAUUUUAUGGAGAAUUUCUUCCAUAUCAUAUAGAAAAUGUUCCAACAGAAAUUCUUUACUGAGGUGAGCAGUGCCUUCCAGCAGCCCAUGCCGAAAUGAAGCUGAGUCUCUACGUAGUUGCUCUACCUGUCCAAAUACUGCAUCUGUGAUUCUGGCAUUGAUAUUUCAGGUAAGCUAAAGUGGCAUAAACUAACUGUGAGAUAAGCAAAGAGAGGUGGGAAAGACCUUUGUCUGGGCCACACGUGGGCACGACCGUGAGUUUAGGGGUACACAAUUUGUAACUGGACUUGUUUUUAAAAACCUCUGGUUUUAGCAUUCGAUAUCCUGAUUGU